GCAAUAGAGCUUAAUUCAAUCUGAAUUUUUGGAUUAUUGAUUUUUCAAAACCUACAUCAAGUCAACAACACAAUAAUUUAAUUAGUUAAUUAAUUAAAGCAUUAUAUAAAUUAUUUAUUUAAUCAAAUCAAUUUAUAAAUUAUUUAAAAAUAAUCAAUUAAAUAAUUAAUUAAAACAUUUAUAAACAGUAAAUUAAAUAAUUCAUAAAUAACAAAUAAUUAAUUAAAUAAUCAUUCAUUUUUAAACAAAUAAUAAUUUUAUUAAUAUUUAUUACAUAAGAAUUAUUUUAUAAUUUAAUGCAAAAUUUUCAUUAUUUAAAACAAUAUGUUAAUUACUUAUAUAAUUAAUUAAAACUUCGUUUUAAUUAUUUUUAAAAAGUAAAUAAAAUAUUUUUUUAAUUAAUUAAAACAAAAUAAAAUAAUAUUUCAAGCAAAUUAAAUAAUAUUUCAUUUUCAUGAAAACAAAAUUAUUUCUUUCAAAUAAUUCAUUAAUAAUUGAUUUCAUGCAUAUUUAUUUCAUGUAAAUUAUUAGUUUCAUGUAAACUUAAUAAUUUAAAUUAAAUAAUUUAAAUAUAUAUGAUUCAAAAUUUAUUUUUAACAUUAUAAUUUCAUAUAACCAUUCAUAAAAUAUAUCCAUUCAUCAAAUAUUAUUUGAUAUUAUAACCAUUUCAUUUUAUUAUUAUUUCAUAACAAUCAUUCAUAGAAUUAAUAUAACUAUUUGAUAUAACCAUUUUAUUUAAUUUUUUUGCGAAUCAUUCAUAAACAUACUAAAAUAAUUCAAUAAAUUUAUCUUCCAUUCAUACUGUAGACAUUAAUCUUUCAUUCAUAUAUAACAAUUACAACAUAAAACAAGAAAUCAAUAACAAAAAAUCAAUUACAAAAAAAAUCAAUAAAACAAUCAAAAUAACAUAAUGAAAACAACAUAAUCACAACAUAAUCAAAACUCUUAGUAAAUGAAAGAUCCAACUCCUAGUAAAUGAAAGAUCUAAUUCUAUCUAUCAACCUAAGAAUUUACACUAUCUUUGAAGGAAAUGCCACCAUUGAACAUGUAGGAAAUAUUACCGAGGUGUGUGGAAGUGGAGACCGGCGACGGAGACGUGACCGACGGGAGGAGACGACGACGAAGACGGGAGGAGGCGACGACGAUUCGGCAGGAGCGACUCUGUCGAUUUGAAGAACAAGAAGCCAAUAUAACACAUAAAUCAUUAAGAGUAGAAACUAUAACACAUAAAUCAUAUAAUCAUAAACAUAUAAUAUAAACUAUAAAAUCGAUCAUUACAUAAACAUUACAGCAACCCAUUCAAUAAUCAUAAUCAUAAACAUAAAUCAAUAAACAUAAACAUAAUAAAUAAUAAAUAAAUCAAUAAUCAAUAAUAAUAAAAAAACAUAAACAUAAAUCAAUAAUCAAUAAUGAAAUAAUCAAUAAUCAAUAAUCAAUAAUGAAAUAAUCAAUAAUCGAAACCCAUUCACCCCAUAACAAUAAUCAAUAUCAAACCCAUCAUCACAAUAAUCUUAUCAACACAAUAAUCAUAAACAAAAAACCAUAAAAAAACAAAAGAAAAUAAAAAACAAACCUUCAAUCAACGACACCACGGCGAAGUGGAGAUCGAAGUGGAGAUCACGGCGACUGGGAGUGGAGACAGGCGACGACGACACCACAACGCGGCGGCGUAACCGGCGACGGGGAGACAGGCAGCGGCGGGGAGACACUCGGCAGCAGGGAGACA
rnacentral:lncRNA from 1 species